rnacentral:misc_RNA from 1 species
AACGCACAUUGCGCCCUCUGGUAUUCCGGAGGGCAUGCCUGUUCGAGCGUCAUUUCAACCCUCAAGCCUUGCUUGGUGUUGGGGCACUGCUUUUACCCAAAAGCAGGCCCUGAAAUCCAGUGGCGAGCUCGCCAGGACCCCGAGCGCAGUAGUUAAACCCUCGCUCUGGAAGGCCCUGGCGGUGCCCUGCCGUUAAACCCCCAACUUCUGAAAAUUUGACCUCGGAUCAGGUAGGAAUACCCGCUGAACUUAA